GCACGAUGGGCAGGUGGAUGGGCAGCAAACAUAACCCUGGGGAAUUGUUCACAUAUGCUAGAACCCCUAUCAGGUGACAGCCCCCAGAGAGACUCACAGCUGCAGCAAGCAGGGAGUGCAAGCCUCAAACCUAUACCAGCGAGAAACCUCAGUUUUGUUCCUCCUUGUCGGCUCUGCACAUUACCUUAAACUUACGCUCACCCAGUUGGUUACCCCUUGGAAGUUAUAGGUAUCAAAGAUCAAGUCCUGCCACAAACCCUUCAACAUACAAACAGUUAAGCACUUGCUAUGGCUAUCAGGCCUGUUUCCAAACCUCCCAUUAUUACACCAGGUUGUACUGCGGGGGCGUGGGGGCCGGUGAAGUGGGGGAAAGCAUUUUAAAGAGUACUGCAAGAUGCUUAUUCACAACACCACACUGGAAGCGCAGGAACUUCAGCUCCCAAACGCAACCUUUCUCCCCCCUCCCUCCAGUCCCUCUCCACCGCGCCCGCCAAAGCCAGAGCUCAGCCCACGGAAGGCCACCGCGCUCCAGCGGGUGUCCACUGAACAGUAGCUGAUCACGGUGAUGGGGCCGGAAAGCCCCACACGCUCUCAGCAGCCAGUGAGAACUGUCCAGACCUGCCUCCCCACGCCCGCCGGGGCAGGAGCGUGCGGGUAGGAAACCUGAGGCCCCGAGGUUUGGGCAGGCACAACGUCCCCCCCUCCCCCAAGUCUGCCCUCGCUCUCUCCCUUGUCACUCUUUUUCUGGCAUAUCACUGGGGAAAACCGGGGAGGCCGGAGAUGUCAGGCCCAAGAAGAGUAAGGAGAAGGGACAAGGGCGAACGGGAGGCAGUAUUUUUUGGUGGGAGGGAAAUCUGUCCAGAGCGGAGGUGCGGUAGCGCCGCAUCUCGCGGGGAAGAACCCCCAGACCGCGAGGCCUGUGGAACUUCCCUGACCAGGGAUCAAACCUGUGACUCUUGCAGUGGAAGUGCACAAUCCUAACCACUGGACCACCAGGGAAGCAUUCAGCGAUAUUUUAAUCUUCAAACUCUGUUCAGGCCUCCCAGUGAACUGCCAUCUGCCACGCAACACAAGUGAAGAACCAAAGCUGAGUUUUUUGGCCUUUUUUUUAGUGGCUAAAGCCUCACCCCAGCCACUAUGGAAGAAAAGGUCCCCCCACCGAACUCCCUCUUCUUUGAAGAAACACAACUGAGACCAAGAGAGAAGUAGCUAUAGUUUAAUACAAACCUGCACCAGAACACAA